rfam:Spiroplasma diminutum CTAS-1, complete genome.
AUAUUAAUGCUAUUCGUACCGAAGAAAGUAACUGGGAUUUAUCCCUUAAUUUGUUACCGAGGAAUGAAACUACAUAUAUAAUUGUAAGUUUUUCUUACAAUGUUUAUUGUAUUUUUAAUUGACCUCGGAAAUUAUCUGAGGUUUUAUUUUGAUCUU